AUCACAGUGUCGCAGGACUGCUCGCUGCUGGAGUACUCGUCCGGGUCGCUGGAUAGCCUCAGCAAUGGCAGUUCGGACUCGGCGUCGCCGCGGUGAUGGAAAGAUCGUAGGACGCGCGAAGCAAUCUGGAUGGUGGAGAGGGUUUCGGAGAAAUCUCUCGGCGAGGCGGAGAUGUGAGCAAUCAUGGUGGUCCUGCAGUUCAUGUUGCCUAGCGACUCCCUUAGCAACAUGGUCAGCUUGCUGUCCCUGGUUACACGUAUAGAUGAGACGUGAGCAGUGAAGACAGGUUUGAAAUGCAUACAUGUGUACGACGCGACUGAGUGAGUUUUCAAACAGAAAUCCUUGUUUAUCUGACAGAUUGAAGUAAUUACACCUCCUUGAAAAAGUAUUCACUCCUCUUGUGUGUCAGUGUGUAAAGGGUGUAGUGCAGUUUGAUCUGUUUGACUAGGAAAGAGGCAUUUAUGCACCAAACAAUCGUCAAGCAAAAUAAAUUUAGACUUUCCAGGAAAUUUUUUUUUUUACAACUAAAGACCUGAAAAGUGUACAAGGUGCACUCCUGAUUCAAUAUUUUGUAAAACCACCUUAACACACAGUUACAGCUUCAGUUACACUUACAGCUCUGAAUAAUGAACCUGCUAUUACAAUAUUGGGUUUUUGGUCGUUAUCCGAUAUGCCGAUAUACUAAAACUCAUUUGGCCAAUAACUGAUACCAAUAACAAUAUUUUUUUUCCUAUACCUACUUAUUAAAACUAUAUGUCUUUCUCUACUGUGGAAUUAAAAUACUGCAUUAUCUUUGUCAAUUUAACCUGCUAGCAAAUGCUAAAAAGGAGGCUGAAGACGAUGCAACACUUUCAAUUUGCAUUGUUUAAUGUCAAAUUUAUUCAUGACAUCUGUUCUCUCUAAGACAAAGACACUCAAACAGUGCAGAUCUGACGUUGUGCUGCGUUGUCACUGGUUUGUCAUGUAAGAACAACGCCUUUUAUGAGUUAUUUUGACGGAAUGACUGAUGUCCGAUAUUAAUGGUCGAUACCGAUAUCAUGCUGAUAAUUGUGCAUCCCAAUAAUAACAAUAAUUAUUAUUGUAGCUGUGAUUAUGUUUUGGGCAAUUUCUGUUGCUGAAAGGUGAAUCUGCACCGUAGUGUCAAGUCAUCUGCAGGUUUUCCCAUCUAUUUCCUGCUCCUGCUUAAGAAAAGCAUCCCACAGCAUGAUGCUGCCAUAAUGUACAGUGUUAAUUUUCUUCCAUACUAUUAACUAUACAUAUUGACUUACAUUGGUACUGUCUUCACAUUCAGCAAUUUGAGUUUGUGACAAAAGGAAUGUAAACAUUUCAAGGGGUGUGAAUACUUUUACGAGACACUGUGCUUUUCACAAAUUUAAAUAUUUGUUGAAAAUAUAUGUUAAAAAACAGCUAAUUUGUUGGAAAAAUGAAAGACAGGCUGUCAGAAAACUCUCUUUUGAUAUUACACAGUCUAAUAUUAGAGUCUUCUGAGAGGUUUCCAUUAACAGAUGGUGGGAAGUAAAACUAGGCUGUGUGUUUAAGAGAAGACUUUCUCCUGGGUGGGCCGCUGUAAUCAUUUAUAUCUCAGAUUCGUGUGUGCAGCAGCAGGUUGACAGAGAACAGCUCCUCUGUGUCCCGUUAACUCAUGCUGUUGUCCUUUUUUUU